AUGGGUGAUAGUUCAAAUUCAAAUGUGCAGAAGGCUGAGGAACUCAAACUUAGGGCAAACGAUGCCUUCAAGGCAAACAAGUUUUCUCAGGCUGUAGAGCUCUAUGACCAGGCUAUUGAUCUAAAUGGUUCAAAUGCGGUUUAUUGGGCAAAUCGUGCAUUUGCACAUACAAAGCUUGAGGAAUAUGGAAGUGCUGUCCAGGAUGCUACAAAGGCUAUUGAGAUUGAUCCUAAAUAUUCGAAAGGUUAUUAUAGACGAGGUGCGGCAUAUCUUGCUAUGGGAAAAUUCAAGGAAGCCCUGAAAGAUUUUCAACAGGUGAAAAGAAUCUGUCCUAAUGAUCCAGAUGCUACAAGAAAGUUGAAAGAGUGUGAGAAAGCUGUCCAAAAAAUCCGCUUCGAAGAAGCAAUUUCUGUAGGGGAUACAGAAAGGCGCUCAAUAGCAGAUUCUCUUGAUUAUCAUAUAAUAGAAGUUGAACCACAGUAUACUGGAGCAAGAAUUGAUGGGGAUACAAUAACAUUAGAUUUUGUCAAGCAGAUGCUGGAGGAUUUCAAGAAGCAAAGAUGUAUACAUAAAAGGUAUGCAUUACAGAUUGUGUUGCAAGCACGGGACUUGCUGCGAGCAGUGCCUUCCCUUGUCGAUGUGAAUGUUCCGAAUGGUUGUCACUUUACGGUCUGCGGUGAUGUUCAUGGCCAGUACUUCGAUCUGCUAAAUAUAUUUGAGCUCAAUGGACUUCCCUCUGAAGACAACCCUUACCUCUUCAAUGGAGACUUUGUGGACAGAGGAUCGUUUUCACUUGAAGUCAUACUUACUCUCUUUGCAUUCAAGUGCCUCUAUCCAACUGGUAUGUAUCUAGCAAGAGGAAACCAUGAAAGCAAGAGCAUGAACAAAAUAUACGGUUUUGAGGGAGAAGUGAAGUCCAAGUUGAGUGAUACGUUUGUCGAGCUGUUUGCUGAAGUAUUUUGUUGCUUACCUCUGGCUCAUGUAAUCAACAAGAAGGUCUUUGUAGUUCAUGGGGGUCUGUUUAGUGUUGAUGGAGUAAAGUUAUCAGACAUUAAGGCCAUUGACCGUUUCUGUGAGCCUCCCGAAGAAGGUUUGAUGUGUGAAAUUCUAUGGAGUGACCCUCAGCCUCAGCCUGGGAGAGGUCCAAGCAAACGAGGUGUAGGGCUUUCCUUUGGUGGAGAUGUGACGAAGCGGUUUUUAGAAGAUAACAACCUGGACCUUGUUGUCCGAUCCCAUGAAGUGAAGGAUGAAGGGUAUGAAACUAUGCAUGACGGAAAGCUUAUUACUGUCUUCUCUGCUCCUAACUAUUGCGACCAGAUGGGCAACAAAGGUGCAUUUAUUCGAUUCAAUGCUCCAGAUUUAAAGCCAGAUAUUGUUAGUUUCUCAGCAGUGCCGCACCCUGAUGUCAAGCCGAUGGCCUAUGCAAACAAUUUCCUCCGGAUGUUCCAAUAG
rnacentral:rRNA from 1 species